ACGGCUCAGUAACACGUGGACAACCUACCCUAUGGAGGGGGAUAACCCCGGGAAACUGGGGAUAAUACCCCAUAGACUAUGGAUGCUGGAAUGCUCUGUAGCCAAAAGGUCAGCCGCCAUAGGGUGGGUCUGCGGCCGAUUAGGUAGUUGUUGGGGUAACGGCCCAACAAGCCUGUAAUCGGUACGGGUUGUGGGAGCAAGAGCCCGGAGAUGGAUUCUGAGACACGAAUCCAGGCCCUACGGGGCGCAGCAGGCGCGAAAACUUUACAAUGCGGGAAACCGUGAUAAGGGAACUCCGAGUGCCCGUUAAAUCGGGCUGUCCAUCUGUGUAAAUAACAGGUGAAGAAAGGGCCGGGCAAGACCGGUGCCAGCCGCCGCGGUAAUACCGGCGGCUCGAGUGGUGGCCACUAUUACUGGGCUUAAAGCGUUCGUAGCUGGUUUGUUAAGUCUCUGGGGAAAUCUUCCGGCUUAACCGGAAGGCGUCUCAGGGAUACUGGCAGACUAGGGACCGGAAGAGGUGAGGGGUACUCCAGGGGUAGGAGUGAAAUCCUGUAAUCCUUGGGGGACCACCUGUGGCGAAGGCGCCUCACCAGAACGGCUCCGACAGUGAGGGACGAAAGCUGGGGGAGCAAACCGGAUUAGAUACCCGGGUAGUCCCAGCCGUAAACGAUGUGCGUUAGGUGUAUCGGUGACCACGAGUCACCGAGGUGCCGAAGAGAAAUCGUGAAACGUACCGC
rnacentral:rRNA from 1 species